UACGAAGGGGGCUAGCGUUGCUCGGAAUCACUGGGCGUAAAGCGCGCGCAGGCGGCGAUCUACGUCUGGGGUGAAAGCCCGGAGCUCAACUCCGGGACUGCCUUGGAUACGGGAUCGCUUGAGGAUUGGAGAGGCAAGGGGAAUUCCACGUGUAGCGGUGAAAUGCGUAGAUAUGUGGAGGAACACCUGUGGCGAAGGCGCCUUGCUGGCCAAUUUCUGACGCUGAGGCGCGAAAGCGUGGGGAGCAAACAGG
rnacentral:rRNA from 1 species